GCAGGCAUUUCGCCUUUCUUUGGUCGGAGCUCGACCGGCAUGUCAGUCGAUGGUCUGGCCCGAAAGUUCGACCGUAGAAGGAGUGUCAACUCCCGUCAAUAUAGAUGCAUCGACCCUCGUAAGAGUCCGAUGUGUUGUCGAAGGUCGAAGGAGUGUAGCUCCCGUCCAUAUAGGUAUAUCGAUCCUCGUAAGAGUCCGAUGCAUCACCGACGAUAGGGUCGUCGGUUUCAGG
rnacentral:lncRNA from 1 species